GGUCUUAAAACAGUUGAAAUCAUUUCUGUUGCAAUUUGUGGUGGGUAUUCUCAUAAAUUGACUGGACUAUAAAUAGGAUAGAUCAUUUAAACAUUUGCCAACAAGUACAAUCAUUUAAUGAAUCAGAAACAUAAGAACUGCAACUGUAUUCAGAAAAUAACUUCGAAAAUUAGAAGUAACUAAAAAUCCAGUAUUUGGGUGUUUUAAGAAACAUUAUUUCUAGAAAUACUCAGCAUACUCAUAAAAGUCUACACCCAGAUUACAGAUAUGUUACUAAUAUGUCAUAUCUUGCGAAAACUGUAUUUUGUAACUGCUUCGGAUAUCCAGGCUAAAUGUAACGGCGUUUGUGCUCUAUAAUGUGUAUUGACUACGAUCGUGCAAUGUUUUUUCGAGUUAAAUUCAAGGGACAUCACUCUAUGUUGCUGAGUGUGAUCGUGUGACCAGUCAUGUGACUUUGUAGCGACAGCGGUCGCUCCCUUCAGUCGUGCUCAAUGUACAGUGUUUGAAUAUGGAGGAGUUAUCUCCCUUUAUAUGUUGAUUGUGAGUGGGAAGUAAGUAGGUUGAGUGGAGAUUAGGUAUUUGUUUCAAAUAUAUUCUGUAACUGUUUUUUGAAAUUCAAAUAAAUUUUUGGUGUGUCAUCACAAAAGAUGUAAGUUUAACUAAAUCACUAUCGGCAACUUUACACAAAAGUUCCUCAUCAACGUCAAGCAAAGUAGAAACUUCACAUUUGCCUAAGCGUUGGGAUCUCAAGAAAUCCUUCAGCAAUUUGAUGAGGUCCUUCUGAACCAUGUUGCAAUGCCAGUUGUUGGUGUGGGUGGUUGUUCUCACUCGGUAGCGCCGUCGCCUACGACGCCGACGACAAAAACAUCCUUCGCCUUCCUCCGGAAUGAGAAUCAACACCC